UCUUCAAUUGUAGUACCUAGAUCUUUAUCUUAUUCACUGGCUUAUCACUUGUGAGUCAGGAAAGUAUGAAUAUCCAAUACCUAAGGGGAGCUUCAACCAAUGGACUACAAGUCUGUGUGGGCAGGCAUGGAAGAGUGCCAGAGGCUAGGCCUCACAAAGUCCACUGGAGUCAGCAACUUUUCUCGUAACAGGUUUGAAACUAUAUUUUCCUUUGCUACAAUUCCUCCUGCAGUGAACCAAGUCGAGAUAAGCCCUGUAUGGCAACAAAAGAAGCUUAUAGAAUUUUGCAAGACCCAAAAUGUCAUAGUGACUGCUAGGAGCGUUCGGUUCCAGUUUGGUUUCAAUUCAGUCCAGGAUUUGUCUAGAAAUCAGAACCGAAUCGGUAUUUUAAAAUUUUGGUACGGUUUUGGUUCGAUUCUUCAUUGCUUUGGUUUCAGUUUGGUACAGUUAUCGGUUUUUCUA